CCUGACAGCGUACCUUUUGUAUAAUGGGUCAGUGAGUUAGUCUAUCAAGCAAGCUUAAGCCGUUAGGUGUAGGCGCAGCGAAAGCGAGUCUGAAUAGGGCGCAUGAGUUUGAUGGAUUAGACCCGAAACCCGGCGAUCUAGGCAUGACCAGGUUGAAGGUGCGGUAACACGCACUGGAGGACCGAACCAUUUAAUGUUGAAAAAUUAUUGGAUGAGUUGUGUUUAGGGGUGAAAGGCCAAUCAAGCCGGGAAAUAGCUGGUUCUCCGCGAAAACUAUUUAGGUAGUGCCUCGGAUGAAUACCAACGGGGGUAGAGCACUGGAUGGAUGCAGGGGGCGCGAGCCUUACUAAUUCUAACCAAACUCCGAAUACCGUUGAGUAAUAUCCGGGAGACAGACUACGGGUGCUAAGGUCCGUAGUCGAGAGGGAAACAGCCCUGACCACCAGCUAAGGUCCCUAAAUCUUGUCUAAGUGGGAAAGCAUGUGAGACGGCCAUAACAACCAGGAUGUUGGCUUAGAAGCAGCCAUCAUUUAAAGAAAGCGUAACAGCUCACUGGUCUAAAUAAGGGGUUUUGCGCCGAAAAUGUACCGGGGCUAAAGCCAUGCACCGAAGCUGAGGAUGUGCAGUUUACUGCACGUGGUAGCGGAGCGUUCUGUAAGUCUGCGAAGGUGUGGCGUGAGCCAUGCUGGAGAUAUCAGAAGUGAGAAUGCUGACAUGAGUAGCGAUAAACAGUGUGAGAGACACUGUCGCCGAAAUCCUAAGGGUUCCUGCGCAAGGCUAAUCCGCGCAGGGUGAGUCGGCUCCUAAGGCGAGGCCGAAAGGCGUAGUCGAUGGGAAACAGGUUAAUAUUCCUGUACCAGGUGGAAUGUGACGAAUGGUGUAAGUUGUGGGUCCUUAUUGGAUUGGACCUGCCGCGAAACUGUUCCAGGAAAUAGCACCACCAUUAAUGACCGUACCCUAAACCGACACAGGUAGGAUGGUAGAGCAUACCAAGGCGCUUGAGAGAACUAUGUUGAAGGAACUCGGCAAAUUGCCUCCGUAAGUUCGCGAGAAGGAGGCCCAGUUUCUAGGCAACUAGAGGCUGGGGGCACAAACCAGGGGGUGGCGACUGUUUAUUAAAAACACAGGGCUCUGCGAAGUCGCAAGACGACGUAUAGGGUCUGACGCCUGCCCGGUGCUGGAAGGUUAAGGGGAGCGGUGAGAGCUGCGAAUUGAAGCCCCAGUAAACGGCGGCCGUAACAAUAA
rnacentral:rRNA from 14 species